rnacentral:rRNA from 1 species
UACGUAGGGUGCGAGCGUUAAUCGGAAUUACUGGGCGUAAAGCGUGCGCAGGCGGUUCGUUAAGUUCGUUGUGAAAGCCCCGGGCUCAACCUGGGAACUGCAAUGGAAACUGGCGGGCUUGAAUGCGGCAGAGGGGGGUGGAAUUCCGCGUGUAGCAGUGAAAUGCGUAGAGAUGCGGAGGAACACCGAUGGCGAAGGCAGCCCCCUGGGCUGACAUUGACGCUCAGGCACGAAAGCGUGGGGAGCAAACAGG